UCCUAAUUAUUGCUGUGUACAAGGCCUGG
rnacentral:piRNA from 1 species